rnacentral:rRNA from 1 species
CCAAUCGCGUAUAUUAAAGUUGUUGCAGUUAAAAAGCUCGUAGUUGAACUUCGGGGUCUACCCAUUGGUCAGGCUUAAUUGUCUGCACUGGUGAGAUGGAUCUCUACCUUCUGAGGAACUUUCAUGCCAUUUAUUUGGUGUGAUGGGAAAUCAGGACUGUUACUUUGAAAAAAUUAGAGUGUUUAAAGCAGACUAUCGUCUGAAUACAUUAGCAUGGAAUAAUGAAAUAGGACGGACUGAUUCUAUUUCGUUGGUUUCUAGGAUCACCGUAAUGAUUAAUAGGGAUAGUUGGGGGCAUUAGUAUUCAAUUGUCAGAGGUGAAAUUCUUGGAUUUAUUGAAGACUAACUACUGCGAAAGCAUUUGCCAAGGAUGUUUUCAUUAAUCAAGAACGAAAGUUAGGGGAUCGAAGACGAUCAGAUACCGUCGUAGUCUUAACCAUAAACUAUGCCGACUAGGGAUCGGACGAAGUUAAUUUUAUAAUGACGCGUUCGGCACCUUACG